rnacentral:misc_RNA from 1 species
UAUGCAGGUUAAAUUAGAACAAAAAUUUCACAACUUGUUCAAAAAAUUUUCAUGGAGAGACUGGAGAAAGCAUUGAGGCCUUAAGAACUAUAUGAAUACAGAUAAAGAAAAGCAUCACUAACACCUGGAGUUUGGUGGCUCACAAUGAUAUGGAGAAAAUGUAUGAAACAUCUCAUCUUUCAAAGGUUGAAUUUGUGCUAAAAAGCAUCUUUGUAAUGAUUGCUUCUGUCAUCUAGGGCCUGAGAGUCCAGUAUCUGAGAGAAAUGCAUCACUUGUGUCAUCAACAAAGCCCGAAGAGGAACAUUCUUUGCCGUUCCAUUUGAUGACACUUGACAUAGAGCGAGAAGCUGAUUGAGAAGAAA